CAGGCUGGUCGGGCAAUCGCGGUCCUGUGUUUACGGGAUCGAGGAAAGUCCGCACUCCAAAGAGCACGGCGUCGGAUAGCACCCGGGGUGGGGAAACCGCUGAGAAGCGUUAACCUACCGGAUUAGGGCCACAGAAACAGACAGCCCAACACCGUAAAAAGUAUUGGGUGAUGGUGAAAAGGUGGCGUAAGAGACCACCGGCGUCUGCAGCAAUGCGGAUGGCCAGGUAACCCCCGCCGGGAGCAAGGCCAAGCAGGGGCGAAAUCGUCUGUGGACGAUGGGAGACUGCUCGUCUCCACAUGUGCCGACUCCAACCGUGGAGACGGCCAGCCCCGGGUAGGCCGCACCGAGCGGCGCGGCAACGCGCUGCCCAGAGAGAUGAUUGCACAGUGAGGCACCGCUCAGCGGAGGCUUCAUGGACAGAAUGCGGCUUAUAGACCGGCCUGAAAU
rnacentral:RNase_P_RNA from 2 species